AAGAGAAUAACAUAUAGCCAAGUCCCACAUUGGUUAACUUGUAAAAGUCUAAGGAAGUUUUCCUUAUAAAAAGACUUAAAAGUGAAACCUUAAUAGUCAAGUCCCACAUUGGUUCACUUUUAAAAGUCUAAAGAAGUUUUAUUUAUAAAAAAACCUUAAUAGCCAAGGCCCACUUUUGUUAUAAAAUGAAACUUUAGUAGUUAAUGCUUUGACUAUCAAGUGAGACCUUAAUAGCUAAGUCCCACAUUGGAAAGUCUAAGGAAGUUUUACUUUAUAAUAAACUAUUAAU
rnacentral:lncRNA from 1 species